UGUGUGUCCAUCCUCACCCAUCUGUGACUCCA
rnacentral:piRNA from 1 species